UGAGGAAUAUUGGUCAAUGGGCGAGAGCCUGAACCAGCCAAGUAGCGUGAAGGAUGACUGCCCUAUGGGUUGUAAACUUCUUUUAUAAAGGAAUAAAGUCGGGUAUGGAUACCCGUUUGCAUGUACUUUAUGAAUAAGGAUCGGCUAACUCCGUGCCAGCAGCCGCGGUAAUACGGAGGAUCCGAGCGUUAUCCGGAUUUAUUGGGUUUAAAGGGAGCGUAGGCGGGUGCUUAAGUCAGUUGUGAAAGUUUGCGGCUCAACCGUAAAAUUGCAGUUGAUACUGGGCGCCUUGAGUGCAGCAUAGGUAGGCGGAAUUCGUGGUGUAGCGGUGAAAUGCUUAGAUAUCACGAAGAACUCCGAUUGCGAAGGCAGCUUACUGGACUGUAACUGACGCUGAUGCUCGAAAGUGUGGGUAUCAAACAGGAUUAGAUACCCUGGUAGUCCACACAGUAAACGAUGAAUACUCGCUGUUUGCGAUAUACUGCAAGCGGCCAAGCGAAAGCGUUAAGUAUUCCACCUGGGGAGUACGCCGGCAACGGUGAAACUCAAAGGAAUUGACGGGGGCCCGCACAAGCGGAGGAACAUGUGGUUUAAUUCGAUGAUACGCGAGGAACCUUACCCGGGCUUAAAUUGCAGAUGAAUUACGGUGAAAGCCGUAAGCCGCAAGGCAUCUGUGAAGGUGCUGCAUGGUUGUCGUCAGCUCGUGCCGUGAGGUGUCGGCUUAAGUGCCAUAACGAGCGCAACCCUUGUUGUCAGUUACUAACAGGUUCCGCUGAGGACUCUGACAAGACUGCCAUCGUAAGAUGUGAGGAAGGUGGGGAUGACGUCAAAUCAGCACGGCCCUUACGUCCGGGGCUACACACGUGUUACAAUGGGGGGUACAGAGGGCCGCUACCACGCGAGUGGAUGCCAAUCCCCAAAACCUCUCUCAGUUCGGACUGGAGUCUGCAACCCGACUCCACGAAGCUGGAUUCGCUAGUAAUCGCGCAUCAGCCACGGCGCGGUGAAUACGUUCCC
rnacentral:rRNA from 1 species